GCUCAAAGUGGCAUGGCAGGCGGGGCGCACCCUUGGUAAGGGUGAGGUCUCGAGUUCGAAUCUCGAUCCGGGCUCCC
rnacentral:tRNA from 1 species